AUGGCAAACAAACACUGCUUUGAGGCACUAGACAAAAGCCUUAGAGAUAUUCUCAGAUUCACUAAUGAAAACAGCGAUGAAAAGCCAUUUGGUGGAAUGACAGUUAUACUAGGAGGCGACUUCAGACAAAUCCUGCCAGUUAUAACCAAAGGAAGGAGAGAGCAGAUAGUUAAUGCUUCAAUCAAAAGGUCAUAUCUGUGGAAACACUUUGAAAUAUUUGAGUUAACACAAAACAUGCGGCUGAAGUGUUUGUCAGAUGAUCCAAUACAAAAGCAAAAAGUCGCUGAAUUUGUAGGGUGGAUACUACAGAUUGGCGAUGGGAAAACAACAUCAGAUGAAGGAGAGGAUUGGAUAAAAAUACCAAAGGACCUACUGCUAGAGAAAGGAGAAAAUCGUAAAGAACAAAUCGUCAAAAGCAUAUACUCAAACUUGCUGCAAAAAUACCAUGAGCGGGAUUACCUAAGCCUGGACACAGUGUGCAAGGCCACGACAAACACGAACAUCAUGAUGAACAUGCAGCCUACUGAGUUCCUCAACACCUUCACCUCCCCAGGAAUCCCAGACCAUAAGUUAAAACUGAAGGUGGGUUUGCCGGUAUACAUACCUCGAAUCAUCAUGUCACCAAACGACUCAAAAUGGCCAUUUGUGCUGAAAAGAAGGCAACAUUCAUUAUCAGUCUGCUUCGCAAUGAUGAUAAACAAGAGCCAAGGUCGGUCCUUAAACACGAGUGACAAACAAGGAAGGACUGAAGGUGCUGAUCGAUGA
rnacentral:rRNA from 1 species